rnacentral:rRNA from 1 species
UACGUAGGGUGCAAGCGUUAAUCGGAAUUACUGGGCGUAAAGCGUGCGCAGGCGGUUUUGUAAGUCUGACGUGAAAUCCCCGGGCUCAACCUGGGAAUUGCGUUGGAGACUGCAAGGCUAGAAUCUGGCAGAGGGGGGUAGAAUUCCACGUGUAGCAGUGAAAUGCGUAGAGAUGUGGAGGAAUACCGAUGGCGAAGGCAGCCCCCUGGGAUAACACUGACGCUCAUGCACGAAAGGCGUGGGGAGCAAACAGG